CAACAGAUCUUUUUUCAAACUCAUUGAAAUGAAUAUGACAUGAUUAUCGAGGUCACGCUAAAUUUAUAACAGACACAUUUUAAGAGCGAAAAAGGAUGCUUACAGAUGCAGAGUAUUACGAGCGACUUCGGCUUCUUUUAGAGAGAGUUGUUUUACCAUUUUGUAAGAGAUUACUCAAUAAUUACUUACAGUCACAAUACCUGACGCUGUUUACAUUUUUGGACAGAAACAAACAUAGGAUAAUGCAUUGUUUCCGCAAUGAUGCUUAUUGCUGUUUUCAGAACAAAUAUAAAUGUGUUUUAAAUGAGACGCAGACACUGAAUGAACGUGCAUGGGGUCGUAUCUUUAUGGAAGUCAGGACCAAAAAGUGUAUUAAGGAUGGCUGUAUUUGUCACGUGUUAACAAAGAGUCGACGAAUGCCAAAAUUAGACGUCGAAAUUUUGACGUUUCUUAUUCGCGAAUUCAAUAUUAUAGAAUACAAAAAGUUUCCUGCUGUAAAGGAACUCGAAAAGUUCAGUGAAUAUUUCCACGAAUUAGAAAAUACAAGAGUAAGAAAAGACGAGUACCUAAGAAUUUGGAAUACGGUUACAAAUAGUUUAUUAGUUCUUGGUUUAGAGUCAACAGCAAUAGAUGAAGUAAAAAGGACAAUUCCAUCACCUGUCCCAGUAAAACAAGAUAGUAUAAUUGGACCUCUUUGUAGAGUUUUAAUGAUGGGAUGUGUGAUAUUGAUAAUAUUGGGAAUUCCAAUAGGUGGAGCAGUAGGAUUGGCAAUAGCUCUGUCAUGAUGCUGUAGGUUAUUUGUGCUACUAACUUUAUAACAAAUUGGUGCUGAUUUCGUAGUGAAUUGUUUGUAAAGAAAACAAGAUCUAAAGCGUAUCAGAAAAUACAAAUAAAAAGCUUAGUUGGAGUGAUUAAAAUCUACGUCCGUCUUUAUACACUAGUAUUCUUUAUUCUAAAUUUAAUCAAGAUGCUUGAUUUUUAUUGACAAUUUAGGGAAUGUUUUUUUCAACAGACACUAUGUUAUAAAUAAAUGAUGACAUCCCAUAGAACUAUUCAACAUUGACUAUGUUGAUCGCAACUAUUUCAUUGAACUAAUUGAAAUAAAGAAUACCUCAGAUACAAUUAA